rnacentral:tRNA from 1 species
GGGGAUGUAGCUCAAGUGGUAGUGCGCUCACCUGGAAUGUGCGCGGCGCUGGGUUCGAUACUCAGCACCACA